rnacentral:misc_RNA from 1 species
UCCGAGUUGACCCCGGCAGUCUCCUAUGAGUGCUCAGCAUUACCUGGUGGCAACUAAGGACAGGGGUUGCGCUCGUUGCGGCACUUAAGCCAACACCUCACGGCACGAGCUGACGACAGCCAUGCAGCACCUGUGCUGGCCCCUUACGGAGCCCUGCUUUCACAGGGUUUAACCAGCAUGUCAAGCCUAGGUAAGGUUCUUCGCGUUGCAUCGAAUUAAGCCACAUGCUCCGCCGCUUGUGCGGGUCCCCGUCAAUUCCUUUGAGUUUUAGCCUUGCGGCCGUACUCCCCAGGCGGGGUGCUUAAUGCGUUAGCGUCGGCACAGAGGGGGUUGAUGCCCCCCACACCUAGCACCCAACGUUUACGGCUGGGACUAC